rnacentral:rRNA from 1 species
UACGGAGGGAGCUAGCGUUGUUCGGAAUUACUGGGCGUAAAGCGCACGUAGGCGGCUUUGUAAGUUAGAGGUGAAAGCCUGGAGCUCAACUCCAGAAUUGCCUUUAAGACUGCAUCGCUUGAAUCCAGGAGAGGUGAGUGGAAUUCCGAGUGUAGAGGUGAAAUUCGUAGAUAUUCGGAAGAACACCAGUGGCGAAGGCGGCUCACUGGACUGGGAUUGACGCUGAGGUGCGAAAGCGUGGGGAGCAAACAGG